CCCCCGGCCAUCUGUCUGUGUGUCCGUGUGUCUGUCGUGGGGGGGGGAAUCCCAUCUGGCCGCCCGGGGAAGCGCCGCCCCCGCAGCCACGUCUCCCGCAGCAGCCGCCUCGCUCGCACACCGCCUGGUAUCGCCUGGCACGGGGCUGGCACGGGCCCCCCGGAUCUCCCCCCCGGGGCUAGGUAGAUGGGUAGAUGCCACCCUCUGGUGUGACACUGGGACCUGCCCUGGUGUGGCUCAGCCUCUGGCCACCCUGCCCCCUUCCCAGAAGUCUGGCUGGCACUGCCACCAGCACCCAACAGGUCCCCACUGGUACCCACUGGUCCCCAUCAGUGCCCACUGGUCCCCAUCACUUCCAUCAGCACCCAUCAGGUCCUCACUGGUACCUACUGGUCCCCAUCAUUGUCCACCUGGCACCCAACGAGUCCCCACCAGAACCCACUGGUCUCCACAACCGCCACCAGCACCCAACAAGGCCCCAGUGGGACACACUGGGUCCCCAUCACUGCCUGCCUGGCACCCAAAGUGUCCCAUGGGUACCCACUGGUCUCCAUCAUUGCCCACCUGGCAACCAGCAGGUCCCCAUCAUUGCCACCAGCACCCACUGGGUCCCCACUGGUACCCACUGGGUCUCCAUCACUGCCCAACUGGCACCCACCAGGUCCCCAUGGGUACCCACUGGUCUCCAUCAUUGCCACCUGGCACCCACCAGUCCCCAAUCACCGCCACCAGCACCCAGUGGGUCUCCAUCAGUGCCCACUGGUCCCCAUUACUGCCCGCUUGGCACCCAGUGGGUCCCCAUGGUACCCACUGGUCCCCAUCACAGCCCACCUGGCAACCAGUGGGUCCCCAUCACUGACACCAGCACCCACCAGGUCCCCACUGGUACCUACUGGUCCCCAUCACUGCCCACCUGGCACCCAGUGGAUCCCAAUCACUGCCCACCUGGCGCCCACUGCGUCCCCACGGGUACCCACUGGUCUCCAUCAUUGCCUACCUGGCAACCAGCAGGUCCCCAUCAUUGCCACCAGCACCCACUGGGUCCCCACUGGUACCUACUGGUCCCCAUCACUGCCCACCUGGUACCCACUGGUCCCCAUCACUGCCCACCUGGCAACCAGUGGGUCCCCAUCAUUGCCACCAGCACCCACCAGGUCCCCACUGGUACCCACUGGUCCCCAUCACAGCCCACCUGGCAACCAGUGGGUCCCCAUCAUUGCCACCAGCACCCAACAGGUCCCCACUGGUACCCACUGGUCCCCAUCACUGCCACCAGCACCCAACAGGUCCCCACGGAUACCCACUGGUCUCCAUCACUGCCCACCUGGCAACCAGUGGAUCCCAAUCACUGCCCAACUGGCACCCAAAGUGUCCCCACAGGUACCCACCAGUCCCCAAUUGCUGCCACCGGUGCCCAGUGGGUCCCCAGCAGUGCCCACUGGUCCCCACCACAGCCCACCUGGCAACCAGUAGGUCCCCAUUACGGCCACCAGCACCCAGUGGGUCCCCAUGGUACCCACCAGUCCCCAUCACUGCCCGCCUGGCACCCCCUGGGUCCCCAAAACAUGGGCACACGGUCCCCAAGGCCGGUGGCACUUGUCCCCACCGCCAGCGGUUUCCCGUGACGCUGCCCGCCCGUCCCACAGCUUGGGGGGCACCUCGGGGUGUCCCCGAAACCUGGCCGUGGGGAGGGGGACAGCAGGCGGUGACACCCCCAUGGGACACGGACACGAGGUUGUCCCCAAUGCCACCCCACACAGCGGGACGUG
ensembl:lncRNA